rnacentral:rRNA from 1 species
AAAUCUGGUUGAUCCUGCCAGAGGCGACCGCUUUGGGAGUUCGAUUAAGCCAUGCGAGUCGUGAGUCUUAGGGACUCGGCAUACUGCUCAGUAACACGUGGAUAACCUGCCCUAUCGUCUGGAAUAACCUCGGGAAACUGAGAACAAGGCCGGAUAGUUCACAAUGCCUGGAACGGUUUGUGAAUCAAGGUAGGAUGGGUCUGCGGCGUAUCAGGUUGUAGGGGGUGUAAAGGACCCCCUAGCCUUCGACGCGUACGGGUGUUGGGAGA